UACGGAGGGUGCAAGCGUUAAUCGGAAUUACUGGGCGUAAAGCGUACGUAGGCGGCUUGGUAAGCAAGAUGUGAAAUCCCCGGGCUCAACCUGGGAAUGGCAUUUUGAACUGGCAGGCUCGAGUUCUGAAGAGGGUGGUAGAAUUUCCAGUGUAGCGGUGAAAUGCGUAGAUAUUGGAAGGAAUACCGGUGGCGAAGGCGGCCACCUGGUCAGAAACUGACGCUGAGGUACGAAAGCGUGGGGAGCAAACAGG
rnacentral:rRNA from 1 species